GAUGAAGAACGCAGUGAAACGCGAUAUGUAAUGUGAAUUGCAGAAUUCAGUGAAUCAUCGAAUCUUUGAACGCACAUGGCGCCUUCCAGUAUCCUGGGAGGCAUGCCUGUCCGAGCGUCGUUUCAACCCUCGAGCCCCCGUGGCCCGGCGUUGGGGAUCUGCCCAGGCAGUCCCCGAAAACCAGUGGCGGACCCGUUACAGGCCCUUCCCUUGCGUAGUAGCAUUCGCCUCGCAUCGGGAGCCGGCGGGCUUCCAGCCUCUAAACCCCCAUCAAGUCCGCCCCGGCGGCACCAAGGUUGACCUCGGAUCAGGUAGGAAUACCCACUGAACUUAAGCAUAUCAAUAAGCGGAGGA
rnacentral:misc_RNA from 1 species